rnacentral:rRNA from 1 species
UUACCAGGCCUUGACAUGCAGAGAACUUCCAGAGAUGGAUUGGUGCCUUCGGGAACUCUGACACAGGUGCUGCAUGGCUGUCGUCAGCUCGUGUCGUGAGAUGUUGGGUUAAGUCCCGUAACGAGCGCAACCCUUGCCUUUAGUUGCCAGCAGUUCGGCUGGGCACUCUAAAGGGACUGCCGGUGUUAAACCGGAGGAAGGUGGGGAUGGACGUCAAGUCCUCAUGGCCUUUAUGACCAGGGCUACACACGUACUACAAUGGCCGAUACAAAGGGCAGCGACACUGCGAGGUGAAGCCAAUCCCGUAAAAAUCGGUCUCAGUCCGGAUUGGAGUCUGCAACUCGACUCCAUGAAGUUGGAAUCGCUAGUAAUCGUGGAUCAGCAUGCCACGGUGAAUACGUUCCCGGGCCUU